AACCAUAGAAACCUGCGGAGUACCUGCGGAGGGAUCAUUACCGAGUUAUACAACUCAUCAACCCCUGUGAACUUACCUACAACGUUGCUUCGGCGGGAACAGACGGCCCCGUAAAACGGGCCGCCCCCGCCAGAGGACCCCUAACUCUGUUUCUAUAAUGUUUUUCUGAGUAAACAAGCAAAUAAAUUAAAACUUUCAACAAUGGAUCU
rnacentral:misc_RNA from 1 species